GCCUGGGUAGCUCAGACGGUAGAGCAUCAGACUUUUAAUCUGAGGGUCCAGGGUUCAAGUCCCUGUUCAGGUGGUUCCA
rnacentral:tRNA from 1 species